CAAUAGCGUAUAUUUAAGUUGUUGCAGUUAAAAAGCUCGUAGUUGGAUUUCGGGUGGGACGCAGCGGUCUCGCAUUGCGUUUGUACUGCUGCAGCCCUCCUUCUUGCCGGGGGCGGCCUCUCGGACUUCACUGUCUGGGGGUCAGAAUCGGCGACGUUACUUUGAGUAAAUUAGAGUGUUCAAAGCAAGCUUACGCUCUGAAUAUAAUAGCAUGGGAUAACACGACAGGACUCUGGCCUAUCGUGUUGGUCUAUAGGACCAGAGUAAUGAUUAAGAGGGACAGUCGGGGGCAUUCGUAUUCCGUUGUCAGAGGUGAAAUUCUUGGAUUUACGGAAGACGAACAUCUGCGAAAGCAUUUGCCAAGGAUGUUUUCAUUGA
rnacentral:rRNA from 1 species